rnacentral:rRNA from 1 species
AGUCAUAUGCUUGUCUCAAAGAUUAAGCCAUGCAUGUCUCAGUACAAGCCAAAUUAAGGUGAAACCGCGAAAGGCUCAUUAAAUCAGUUAUGGUUCCUUAGAUCGUACCCACAAUUACUUGGAUAACUGUGGUAAUUCUAGAGCUAAUACAUGCAAACAGAGCUCCGACCGGAGACGGAAGGAGUGCUUUUAUUAGAUCAAAACCAAUCGGUGGCGGGUUCGCGCUCGUCAUCGUACAACUUGGUGACUCUGAAUAACUUUACGCUGAUCGCACGGUCUCGCACCGGCGACGCAUCUUUCAAAUGUCUGCCUUAUCAACUGUCGAUGGUAGGUUCUGCGCCUACCAUGGUCGUAACGGGUAACGGGGAAUCAGGGUUCGAUUCCGGAGAGGGAGCCUGAGAAACGGCUACCACAUCCAAGGAAGGCAGCAGGCGCGCAAAUUACCCACUCCCGGCACGGGGAGGUAGUGACGAAAAAUAACGAUACGGGACUCAUCCGAGGCCCCGUAAUCGGAAUGAGUACACUCUAAACCCUUUAACGAGGAUCAAUUGGAGGGCAAGUCUGGUGCCAGCAGCUGCGGUAAUUCCAGCUCCAAUAGCGUAUAUUAAAGUUGUUGCGGUUAAAAAGCUCGUAGUCGAAUUUGUGUCUCGCGCCGCCGGUUCAUCGUCCGCGGUGUUAACUGGCGUGUCUCGCGAGACGUCCUGCCGGUGGAUUUAGUCGUUGACCGAUUUCGACACGUGUAUGCUCCGGCGUGCGCGCGUUGGCGGUUUUAACGGCGGUCCAACUCAAUCCUGCCGCGGUGCUCUUCACUGAGUGUCGAGGUGGGCCGGCACGUUUACUUUGAACAAAUUAGAGUGCUUAAAGCAGGCUAAAAUUUCGCCUGAAUAUUGUGUGCAUGGAAUAAUGGAAUAGGACCUCGGUUCUAUUUUGUUGGUUUUCGGAACCCCGAGGUAAUGAUUAAUAGGAACGGAUGGGGGCAUUCGUAUUGCGACGUUAGAGGUGAAAUUCUUGGAUCGUCGCAAGACGAACGGAAGCGAAAGCAUUUGCCAAAAACGCUUUCAUUGAUCAAGAACGAAAGUUAGAGGUUCGAAGGCGAUCAGAUACCGCCCUAGUUCUAACCAUAAACGAUGCCAGCUAGCGAUCCGUCGACGUUCCUCCGAUGACUCGACGGGCAGCUUCCGGGAAACCAAAGCUUUUGGGUUCCGGGGGAAGUAUGGUUGCAAAGCUGAAACUUAAAGGAAUUGACGGAAGGGCACCACCAGGAGUGGAGCCUGCGGCUUAAUUUGACUCAACACGGGAAACCUCACCAGGCCCGGACACCGGAAGGAUUGACAGAUUGAGAGCUCUUUCUUGAUUCGGUGGGUGGUGGUGCAUGGCCGUUCUUAUCGUUUGGUCGUCGCGCGUCUCGUUUUCGGCGUGUCGCGCGCGGUUUUUACUGUCGGCGUACAAACAUAUCUUCUUAGAGGGACAGGCGGCUUCUAGCCGCACGAGAUUGAGCAAUAAYAGGUCAGUGAUGCCCUUAGAUGUUCUGGGCCGCACGCGCGCUACACUGAAGGAAUCAGCGUGUCCUCCCUGGCCGAGCGGCCCGGGUAACCCGCNUGAACCUCCUUCGUGCUAGGGAUUGGGGCUUGCAAUUGUUCCCCAUGAACNGAGGAAUNUCCCAGUAAGNCGCGAGUCAUAAGCUCGCGUUGAUUACGUCCCUGCCCUUUGUACACACCGCCCGUCGCUACUACCGAUUGAAUGAUUUAGUGAGGUCUUCGGAUCGACACGCGAUGGCGUUUCGGCGUCGUCGAUGUNGUAAGAGAAGAUGACCAAACUUGAUCAUUU